UACGUAGGGCGCGAGCGUUGUCCGGAAUUAUUGGGCGUAAAGAGCUCGUAGGCGGCCUGUUGCGUCUGCUGUGAAAUCCCGAGGCUCAACCCCGGGCGUGCAGUGGAUACGGGCGGGCUAGAGGCAGGCAGGGGAGAACGGAAUUCCCGGUGUAGCGGUGAAAUGCGCAGAUAUCGGGAGGAACACCGGUGGCGAAGGCGGUUCUCUGGGCCUGUUCUGACGCUGAGGAGCGAAAGCAUGGGGAGCGAACAGG
rnacentral:rRNA from 1 species